rnacentral:tRNA from 1 species
CAGGGAGACAACAAAAUGUUUAAUAUUAUUAUUUUGUCACCUUAGGUCGAUCGGUAUCUCGCAUUUUUAAUUUAUUAAAAAUUUCAAUUCCUAAGUUUUUCUAGGUCACACCCAUUAUUUUUCCUGGGCCAUUAGCUCAGGUGGUUAGAGCGCACCCCUGAUAAGGGUGAGGUCCCUGGUUCAAGUCCAGGAUGGCCCAUAUCUCUAUGUUGGGGGUAUAGCUCAGUUGGUAGAGCGCCUGCUUUGCAAGCAGGAUGUCAGCGGUUCGAGUCCGCUUACCUCCACUGAUUACCACCUCUUCCAUAAUCUGUAGAAAAGGAAAAUUUUGAGUUGUGAUCAAAUUCUGAACGAAUCUAGCUUCCUAAUAAAAUCAUUAAGAUGCUGGACUCAUUGAAUUAAUUUCAUUGUUUUCAGAGAACCUUGACAACUGCAUAGAUUAUUUUUAAAGACAAUAAGCAUCUUUAAUGAUGCAGAUUUAUUAUUUGUGCGAAUGCAUUAAUAACAAUUCUAUUAAGCUGAUGCUUCAAUUUUGAAGUUAUU